UAGCCCUUUUAAUGCAGUCCAGUGAGGCUGGCAAAAGGGGAGAGGGCAAAACAAAAAAAUUUUGUUUCGCCAAGCUUCUUUCCCUCUUUUGCCUUAGGCAAAAGAGGGUUAUUAUU
rfam:Bacillus sp. 1NLA3E, complete genome.